CUUAACACAUGCAAGUCGAGGGGCAUCAGGAAGAAAGCUUGCUUUCUUUGCUGGCGACCGGCGCACGGGUGAGUAACACGUAUCCAACCUGCCCUUUACUCGGGGAUAGCCUUUCGAAAGAAAGAUUAAUACCCGAUGACAUAAUGAUUCCGCAUGGUUUCAUUAUUAAAGGAUUCCGGUAAAGGAUGGGGAUGCGUUCCAUUAGGUUGUUGGUGAGGUAACGGCUCACCAAGCCUUCGAUGGAUAGGGGUUCUGAGAGGAAGGUCCCCCACAUUGGAACUGAGACACGGUCCAAACUCCUACGGGAGGCAGCAGUGAGGAAUAUUGGUCAAUGGGCGCUAGCCUGAACCAGCCAAGUAGCGUGAAGGAUGAAGGCUCUAUGGGUCGUAAACUUCUUUUAUAUAAGAAUAAAGUGCAGUAUGUAUACUGUUUUGUAUGUAUUAUAUGAAUAAGGAUCGGCUAACUCCGUGCCAGCAGCCGCGGUAAUACGGAGGAUCCGAGCGUUAUCCGGAUUUAUUGGGUUUAAAGGGAGCGUAGGUGGACUGGUAAGUCAGUUGUGAAAGUUUGCGGCUCAACCGUAAAAUUGCAGUUGAUACUGUCAGUCUUGAGUACAGUAGAGGUGGGCGGAAUUCGUGGUGUAGCGGUGAAAUGCUUAGAUAUCACGAAGAACUCCGAUUGCGAAGGCAGCUCACUGGACUGCAACUGACACUGAUGCUCGAAAGUGUGGGUAUCAAACAGGAUUAGAUGCCCUGGUAGUCCACACAGUAAACGAUGAAUACUCGCUGUUUGCGAUAUACAGUAAGCGGCCAAGCGAAAGCAUUAAGUAUUCCACCUGGGGAGUACGCCGGCAACGGUGAAACUCAAAGGAAUUGACGGGGGCCCGCACAAGCGGAGGAACAUGUGGUUUAAUUCGAUGAUACGCGAGGAACCUUACCCGGGCUUAAAUUGCAGUGGAAUGAUGUGGAAACAUGUCAGUGAGCAAUCACCGCUGUGAAGGUGCUGCAUGGUUGUCGUCAGCUCGUGCCGUGAGGUGUCGGCUUAAGUGCCAUAACGAGCGCAACCCUUAUCUUUAGUUACUAACAGGUUAUGCUGAGGACUCUAGAGAGACUGCCGUCGUAAGAUGUGAGGAAGGUGGGGAUGACGUCAAAUCAGCACGGCCCUUACGUCCGGGGCUACACACGUGUUACAAUGGGGGGUACAGAAGGCAGCUAGCGGGUGACCGUAUGCUAAUCCCAAAAGCCUCUCUCAGUUCGGAUCGAAGUCUGCAACCCGACUUCGUGAAGCUGGAUUCGCUAGUAAUCGCGCAUCAGCCACGGCGCGGUGAAUACGUUCCCGGGCCUUGUACACACCGCCCGUCAAGCCAUGGGAGCCGGGGGUACCUGAAGUACGUAACCGCAAGGAUCGUCCUAGGGUAAAACUGGUGACUGGGGCUAAGUC
rnacentral:rRNA from 2 species